rnacentral:rRNA from 1 species
UUAUGGCCAUAUCACGUUGAAACACCAGUUCUCAUACAGUCACCAGAGUUAAGCAAUGGUGAGCCUGGUCAGUACCUAGAUGGAUAACUGCUUGGGAAUACCAUGUGCUGUAAG